CCUACGGGAGGCAGCAGUGAGGAAUAUUGGUCAAUGGCCGCAGGGCUGAACCAGCCAAGUCGCGGGAGGUAUGACGGUCCUAUGGAUUGUAAACCUCUUUUGUCAGGGAGCAAAGGGCGCCACGUGUGGCGUUUUGCGAGUACCUGAAUACAAAUCAUCGGCUAACUCCGUGCCCGCAGCCGCUGUAAUCCGGGGGAUGCGAGCCUUUUCCGGAUUUAUUGGGUUUAAGGGGUUGGCAGGAGGAAUGUCCAGUCAGCGGUAAAAUUUCGGGGCGCAACCCCGUCGUGCCGUUGAAACUGGCGUUCUUGAGUGAGCGAGAAGUAUGCGGAAUGCGUGGUGGAGCGGUGAAAUGCAUAGAUAUCACGAAGAACGCCGAUUGCGAAGGCAGCAUACCGGCGCUCAACUGACGCUCAUGCACGAAAGCGUGGGUAUCGAACAGGAUUAGAAACCCGAGUAGUC
rnacentral:rRNA from 1 species